rnacentral:lncRNA from 1 species
GCCUUUAGUGAUUGGUGGAAUUCUGACCUUAAGAUCGAUGUCGAUCGUAGGCUUCGUUACUGCUGAUGGUGAGAUAUUAACUUGGAGGUCCAAAGAAUCUUGAUCCGGGGGUUGGCUAGCAUCCGAAUAGGUGUGAUCAUUUUGCCUUAGCUUCCUCUGGCAAAUCCGAUGGUGCUCAUUUUCGUUGGUCCAAGAUUUUUGAGGGUGAGCCCCGAGAUCCAUAGUUGAUGUGGUGUGACCCCAUAAUAGGGGGAAUCUUUGACAACUACUAAAUAAAAUAAUUAGUUUUGAAGAUAUAAAACUAAAAUUUUUAGAAUUGAAUGUAUUAAUCUAAAACUAAUAGAAUUUACGUAGUUGAUAUGGUGGUUUCAAAUAGUCUAAAAUCUCUUUCUAUCAAUGGCUAUCCUUUGACUUCUAACUCCAUCACUAAGUUUGGAUUCAAGUUGUUAAAUAAAAUUUUUCCCCUCCUAAAUCGUUCUACAUUUUUGUUAAAUCAUGCAUCCUUGUAGGCCCUAUAUAUUCAUCAGAGGACUUCUACAUGUUAUUUGAUAGUCCUUAUCACUUCAAAAACUUUUUAAACUUCCAUUGAGAUAACGAACGUUGAUCUUACUUGUCACAUGCAAAGAUGUGCCUAAUCCUAAUAAGAAUAAUGCUAAACACAACCAAGCCCCC